AGUCACUGACAUUAGAUACCCCCGUAGUCCAGGGUGUAAACGCUGCAGACUUGGUGUUGGAGGCCCUUGGGGCAUUCAGUGCCGGAGAGAAGUUGUUAAGUCUGCUACUUGGGGAGUACGUCCGCAAGGAUGAAACUUAAGGAAUUGGCGGGGAGCACAACAACGGGUGGAGCCUGCGGUUUAAUUGGACUCAACGCCGGACAACUCACCGGGACGACAGCAAUAUGUAGGCCAGGCUGAAGACCUUGCCUGAAUCGCUG
rnacentral:rRNA from 1 species